rnacentral:rRNA from 1 species
GUGUCAGCAGCCGCGGUAAAACGUAGGAGGCGAGCGUUAUCCGGAGUUACUGGGCGUAAAGCGCGUGCAGGCGGGUUAGUAAGUUGGUUAUGAAAGCUCCUGGCUAAACUGGGAGAGGCUGACCAAGACUGCUAGUCUGGAGUGGAAGAGAGGACGACGGAAUUCCGCGUGUAGUGGUGAAAUGCGUAGGGAUGCGGAGGAACACCAGUGGCGAAGGCGGUCGUCUGGCUUCCGACUGACGCUCAGACGCGAAAGCAUGGGGAGCGAACGGGAUUAGAAACCCCGGUAGUCCAGGCUGUAAACGAUGCACACUAGACGUGCGGCGCCUGUUGAGGUGCUGUGUGUCGUAGCUAACGCGCUAAGUGUGCCGCCUGGGGAGUACGGUCGCAAGGCUAAAACUUAAAGGAAUUGACGGGG